GAGAUAGCUUAGUUGGAAGAGCAUGAGACUCUUAAUCUCAAGGGUCAUGGGUUUGAGCCCAAUAUUGGACA